AGGCGAUAAUUGAUUUAUGAAGUUUCUGUAAGUUAUUUAAUUUGUGUUUAUAAAAUUUUCUUUUUUUCGCUAAUUAAUAAAAAUUAUUUUUUUUAAUGGAGUAUUUGGUGGAUUCCUUAAAGCAUUGGUUUGACACCAAUGAAUUACACAUUCACAUUACGAUAAGUUCAAAAUCGACACCCGAGCGAGAGGGGCAGGGCCAAACCCAUACUGAGAAUCCAGUUGGAAGCCGGCUCUUCUCAAAUUGUACAUAUCCCUGGCAUGAUUAUUAUUUAAUGUUAAAAAUCCUGAUCCACUUAUCCAGACUCCUUUAACAUUAAAUUUUAUAGAUUCAAAAUGGGAUUCUACGAAUUUGAUUCACUUAACUGGAUUAUUUACUUAUCCAGGACCCA
rnacentral:lncRNA from 1 species